AUUGAACGCUGGCGGCAGGCCUAACACAUGCAAGUCGAGCGAGCGGAGGACGGGUGAGUAAUGUAUGGGGACUGCCCGAUAGAGGGGGAUAACUACUGGAAACGGUGGCUAAUACCGCAUACUAUCGGAUAACCCAUAUGGUAUUAGCUAGUAGGUGGGGUAAAGGAUUCCCUAGGCGACGAGCUCUAGCUGGUCUGAGAGGAUGAUCAGACACACUGGGACUGAGAUACUGCCCAGACUCCUACGGAGGCAGCAGUGGGGAAUCUGGCACAAUGGGCGCAAGCCUGAUGCAGCCAUGCCGCGUGGAGGAAGAAGGCCUUAGGGUUGUAAAUUACUUUCAGCGGGGAGGCGUUACCCGCAGAAGAAGCACCGGCUAACUCCGUGCCAGCAGCCGCGGUAAUAC
rnacentral:rRNA from 1 species